AGGCUACAUCUGCAAUUUGAGCCACAACAGGGAGGGUUUCAGCAUGCCAAGCAUCUUUCAAGGAAGAUAUGAGCAUUCAGCAACAUCAUUACUUCUUUGGAAUCUGUGUCCAAAUUCCUGAACUGAUGCUUUUAAUGCAUGUUGGAGAGACUGAAAAGUAGGUGAGCAGAAGAAGAGAGAGAAAUCUAAAGAGGCAGGGAGAGAGAGA